UCUACGGGAGGCAGCAGUGGGGAAUCUUGGACAAUGGGCGCAAGCCUGAUCCAGCCAUGCCGCGUGAGUGAUGAAGGCCUUAGGGUCGUAAAGCUCUUUCGCCAGGGAUGAUAAUGACAGUACCUGGUAAAGAAACCCCGGCUAACUCCGUGCCAGCAGCCGCGGUAAUACGGAGGGGGUUAGCGUUGUUCGGAAUUACUGGGCGUAAAGCGCGCGUAGGCGGAUCAGAAAGUUGGGGGUGAAAUCCCAGGGCUCAACCCUGGAACUGCCUCCAAAACUCCUGGUCUAGAGUUCGAGAGAGGUGAGUGGAAUUCCGAGUGUAGAGGUGAAAUUCGUAGAUAUUCGGAGGAACACCAGUGGCGAAGGCGGCUCACUGGCUCGAUACUGACGCUGAGGUGCGAAAGUGUGGGGAGCAAACAGGAUUAGAUACCCUGGUAGUCCACACCGUAAACGAUGAAUGCCAGUCGUCAGCAAGCAUGCUUGUUGGUGACACACCUAACGGAUUAAGCAUUCCGCCUGGGGAGUACGGUCGCAAGAUUAAAACUCAAAUGAAUUGACGGA
rnacentral:rRNA from 1 species